rnacentral:rRNA from 1 species
UACGUAGGUGGCAAGCGUUGUCCGGAAUUAUUGGGCGUAAAGAGCGUGUAGGCGGCCCGAUAAGUCCGCUGUGAAAGUCCAGGGCUCAACCCUGGAAUGCCGGUGGAUACUGUCGGGCUCGAAUCCGGAAGAGGUGAGUGGAAUUCCUGGUGUAGCGGUGAAAUGCGCAGAUAUCAGGAGGAACACCAAUGGCGAAGGCAGCUCACUGGGACGGUAUUGACGCUGAGACGCGAAAGCGUGGGGAGCAAACAGG